rnacentral:rRNA from 1 species
ACGCGAAGAACCUUACCUGGGUUUGACAUGCACGUGAAACCCCUGUGAAAGCAGGGGCCUCCUUCGGGACACGUGCACAGGUGCUGCAUGGCUGUCGUCAGCUCGUGUCGUGAGAUGUUGGGUUAAGUCCCGCAACGAGCGCAACCCUUGCCCCGUGUUACUAACAGGUCAAGCUGAGGACUCUCGGGGGACUGCCGGCGUCAAGCCGGAGGAAGGUGGGGACGACGUCAAGUCAUCAUGGCCCUUACGCCCAGGGCUACACACGUGCUACAAUGGCCAGGACAGAGGGCUGCGAGACCGCAAGGUGGAGCGAAUCCCAGAAACCUGGCCCAAGUUCGGAUUGCGGGCUGCAACUCGCCCGCAUGAAGCCGGAAUCGCUAGUAAUCGC